rfam:Basidiobolus meristosporus CBS 931.73 K493scaffold_1042, whole genome shotgun sequence.
GCCCCUGUGGCCUAAUUGGAUAAGGCAUCAGACUUCUAAUCUGAGGAUUGUGGUUUUGAGUCCCACCGGGGGUG